UCCGGCUUAUCACCGGCAGUCCCUUUAGAGUGCCCAACUAAAUGAUGGCAACUAAGGACGAGGGUUGCGCUCGUUGCGGGACUUAACCCAACGCCUCACGGCACGAGCUGACGACAGCCAUGCAGCACCUGUGCAUGCUUCCCUUGCGGGAUCGUCCCACUUUCAUGGUUCUACCACAUGCAUGUCAAGGCCAGGUAAGGUUCUUCGCGUUGCAUCGAAUUAAGCCACAUACUCCACCGCUUGUGCAGGCCCCCGUCAAUUUCUUUGAGUUUUAAUCUUGCGACCGUACUCCCCAGGCGGCUCACUUAACGCGUUAGCUUCGCCACAGACGGGGUCGAUUCCGUCUACAGCAAGUGAGCACCGUUUACAGCUAGGACUAC
rnacentral:misc_RNA from 1 species